rnacentral:lncRNA from 1 species
GUGGGAGAAGACACCGUAUGUGCAGCACUUCCGGGCAAUGAAGUGCAUCAGCAGUGCAUGGAGCAGCUCUAACCACAAGCAAGCUGCAAGGACACUCGUGAGAAGCAUUUCCGUCUGAGGAACACAAGCAGCUCCAUCAAUCUCACUAACACCCUAGAGGUAAGUGCGAGAGCAAUAAAAAUUGUCUUGUGGUAGGACUGGAGAGAAGGG